rnacentral:lncRNA from 1 species
ACAUUUUAUUUUAUGGAGAGAAUGACAUUAAGUCGAGUUGACAAGUAAAAGAAUAAAACAGAGUUGUGUAUAAAAACUAUAAAGAAGGUUUGAUUCAACAGUAACCCUCUAGUAAAGUAAAUCAUAGAUUAAGCCACUGCUUUUUUCUUAGGGAUUCCCCAGAAUCCCAAUAAGUAUAAUCCGCCAAAUUUUUAUUUACCUGUUUUCGUUGAUGUCACCAGAACUUACUCGUAUUGUAAUAUACAGGUACUUCAUGUACCAUGAAAGAUUAUCAUGGUAAUUUCAUUUACGAAAACCUUGUAAUUGUCAUUUCACUUUUGCUAGCAGUUCCUUCUUCAAAGACUGAGGUGGAAAGAUUAUUCAGUGUUCUCAAAUGUAAAAACUGACAAAAGAAACAGGCUUUCUAAUGAAACCCUGAACGGCUUGCUUCAUAGAAAGUUCCCAACUUUGCCAGCAAACAAUUGCUCAAUUUUAGAACCGAACAGUGUUAGGUUGCGUGCAGCAAAAGAAUAUAAAAGCAAUGCGUCGACUUCCUUGAAAAUUCUAAUCCUAUAGAUCUAUGAUCUUCUGGGGGCGUUUAUAUUAUAUAUACCUACAUUAAAUAAUAUGCUGUGGUUUAUUUUCUGUAUUUUAUUUAUGCUUUCUAUAUAAAGGAUUUAUGAAAGUUGUCUAGGAAAUUUUAGGGAUAAAUUCAAAAGAAACUAGGGUAAAAUGUGUUAAAAAAAACGUAAGUGGAAACACUGCUUUGAAGUUUUCAAAAUUCCAGGGCCGUAAAACAAUCUCAAAAAAAAAAAAGUUUUCAAAAUGUCGUAACGCUUUAAUUUUUUAAAUCGUUUUUUUUUUAUUCUUGGUGUGAGUUAUUUUACAUUGUAGUAUUAAUUUAGAGCAACUUUUAGCUUUAUGAGAAUAUUAGACGAUUAGACAUUGAGAAACUCUGUUUUGAAUUCUCUUUAGACAUAACUUGGCUCCAAUACUUUUUUCUUCGUUAGCGUUUCGUAAGCCUGUGUAACUAUUUUCAUUUCUUACAGAAAGUUUAUUAUUAAAAAUCAGCAUGCCUCGAAGAUCGAAAAUGAAAUGCUAUUUCGGAUGCCUUGAUAACGGUGAGUUUACACUAUUUUCCCGGUAUAUUAUUUGCUAACAGAAUUAUUAUUCAUAAUAUAAUUAAAUGAAUUAGCACCAACUAAUGGUCCUUCCUAUUUCUGCUGCCUAGCUAUCAUAUAUGUUAAGUUUUGAUCAAAACAGUCGGUAUUAAGUCUCGUACUAUCACACACACACCUCAGAUAAUAAAAUUGUCUCGAGUGGGUGGAAGUAUUUAUGUUUUGCAACUCAGCGUAUUAUAUGCUUAUUGUCAAGUGGGCCCGAACUAGUUUUUUGGAAUGAUCAAUCAGUCAUGCUUUCCUGUUUAAAUAAAAUACAGCACAAUUGAUCUCACAUCCAAAGUUAGAUGAUGGCAUUCACGUUUUGUUUCCUGGUGUUUGAUAACUAAGUUACACCAAGUGGCCUGUGACCACGUUCAUCCUUCUACCCAAUAUAAAAUAAUGUUUUUAUUUUUGUAGACAAAGGUUUGAUAAUGACAAAAUUUUAUGGAAAAAUUAUAAGGAGCACUAAAAUGUCUGAAACAUGAAAAGAUUGAUGCACUAUAUUUGAACCAGAACGUGUUAUGUAAUAUAUUAAUUUAAGAGAAACUGAUUCAGCAAGGAACGUGAACUCUCAAGGGAUCUUAAUUUUUUUUAAAUAUGUUUAUAAUUGAUAAAUUAAUAAUUGAAAUAGUUCAUAAGAACUAAAUUGAUGCCAAUUUUGUUUUAAAAUAGGUUGUUUAGUUCUUAUAGUUAUAGUAUUACGUUUGAAUAGUUGUAAUUAGUAAGUUAGUAAUAUAUGAAAAUACUGAUAUAAAUUUUUGUAAAUAACCUUUUGUAAAUUCUACGAGAAGAUGAUUUUAAUUAAUGAUCAAAAGUCAACGGUCUUUAAAAGCAUUAUUUGCAAUUAUUUAGAUUAACUGUGGAAUAUAUUUGCUAAGUUGUGUUUUCUGUAUGAGCAGAUAUAAAUGAAAAUGCCCAAACAUGAUUAUGUUUCUUACAUUUUCAUUAUGUGAAAUCAAUAUGCUUGUGACUGAGUAUAUUAAUAAUUUAUUAAAACUUAAGUGAUAGACAGCAACCCCUAUGGCACUGCUGAAGUUUAUAAGCACUGGUGACCACUUAUCAUGGGCCGGGUUGCGUGCUCGUCUGCUGUUGAGUGCAAUAAAAAUUUUCGAAACCCUUUCUAUUAUUUAGAUGUAAUAUUAGUGUACAUUUAAUUUGGAUUAAAAGAUAAAUUUACAUUUUAUGUUUGCAUGUGUAUGUUUAUAAUUCAUUUGCAUGUAACGAACACCAGUUUCUUUUGUAACAAAAUGUAAACUAAUGGUUUGUAAUGAAUGUAAUUAACUUUAAGAUGAUUUUCUUUCAAUCUGCUGUUUGUUUCAUCUAGUAUUACCAAAGCUAAA